UACGUAGGGGGCAAGCGUUGUCCGGAAUCAUUGGGCGUAAAGCGCGUGUAGGCGGCUCGAUAAGUCCGCUGUGAAAGUCCAGGGCUCAACCCUGGAAUGCCGGUGGAAACUGUCGAGCUAGAGUCCGGAAGAGGCGAGUGGAAUUCCUGGUGUAGCGGUGAAAUGCGCAGAUAUCAGGAGGAACACCAAUGGCGAAGGCAGCUCGCUGGGACGGUACUGACGCUGAGGCACGAAAGCGUGGGGAGCAAACAGG
rnacentral:rRNA from 1 species